rnacentral:rRNA from 1 species
AUUGAACGCUGGCGGCAUGCCUUACACAUGCAAAUCGAACGGUAACGGGCCUUCGGGUGCCGACGAGUGGCGAACGGGUGAGUAAUACAUCGGAACGUGCCCGAUCGUGGGGGAUAACGAGGCGAAAGCUUUGCUAAUACCGCAUACGAUCUACGGAUGAAAGCAGGGGACCGCAAGGCCUUGCGCGGACGGAGCGGCCGAUGGCAGAUUAGGUAGUUGGUGGGAUAAAAGCUUACCAAGCCGACGAUCUGUAGCUGGUCUGAGAGGAUGAUCAGCCACACUGGGACUGAGACACGGCCCAGACUCCUACGGGAGGCAGCAGUGGGGAAUUUUGGACAAUGGGCGCAAGCCUGAUCCAGCCAUGCCGCGUGCAGGAUGAGGGCCUUCGGGUUGUAAACUGAUUUUGUACGGAACGAAAAGCCUUCUUUUAAUACAGGAGGGUCAUGACGGUACCGUAAGAAUAAGCACCGGCUAACUACGUG